rnacentral:rRNA from 1 species
CCAGACUCCUACGGGAGGCAGCAGUGGGGAAUAUUGCACAAUGGGGGAAACCCUGAUGCAGCGACGCCGCGUGAAGGAAGAAGUAUUUCGGUAUGUAAACUUCUAUCAGCAGGGAAGAAAAUGACGGUACCUGACUAAGAAGCCCCGGCUAACUACGUGCCAGCAGCCGCGGUAAUACGUAGGGGGCAAGCGUUAUCCGGAUUUACUGGGUGUAAAGGGGGCGCAGACGGCGAUGCAAGCCAGGAGUGAAAGCCCGGGGCCCAACCCCGGGACUGCUCUUGGAACUGCGUGGCUGGAGUGCAGGAGGGGCAGGCGGAAUUCCUGGUGUAGCGGUGAAAUGCGUAGAUAUCAGGAGGAACAUCAGUGGCGAAGGCGGCCGCCUGGCACAAAACUGACGCUGAGGUGCGAAAGCGUGGGUAGCAAACAGGAUUAGAUCCC